GGUUAAGCGACUAAGCGUACACGGUGGAUGCCCUGGCAGUCAGAGGCGAUGAAGGACGUGCUAAUCUGCGAUAAGCGUCGGUAAGGUGAUAUGAACCGUUAUAACCGGCGAUUUCCGAAUGGGGAAACCCAGUGUGUUUCGACACACUAUCAUUAACUGAAUCCAUAGGUUAAUGAGGCGAACCGGGGGAACUGAAACAUCUAAGUACCCCGAGGAAAAGAAAUCAACCGAGAUUCCCCCAGUAGCGGCGAGCGAACGGGGAGCAGCCCAGAGCCUGAAUCAGUGUGUGUGUUAGUGGAAGCGUCUGGAAAGGCGCGCGAUACAGGGUGACAGCCCCGUACACAAAAAUGCACAUGCUGUGAGCUCGAUGAGUAGGGCGGGACACGUGGUAUCCUGUCUGAAUAUGGGGGGACCAUCCUCCAAGGCUAAAUACUCCUGACUGACCGAUAGUGAACCAGUACCGUGAGGGAAAGGCGAAAAGAACCCCGGCGAGGGGAGUGAAAAAGAACCUGAAACCGUGUACGUACAAGCAGUGGGAGCACGCUUAGGCGUGUGACUGCGUACCUUUUGUAUAAUGGGUCAGCGACUUAUAUUCUGUAGCAAGGUUAACCGAAUAGGGGAGCCGAAGGGAAACCGAGUCUUAACUGGGCGUUAAGUUGCAGGGUAUAGACCCGAAACCCGGUGAUCUAGCCAUGGGCAGGUUGAAGGUUGGGUAACACUAACUGGAGGACCGAACCGACUAAUGUUGAAAAAUUAGCGGAUGACUUGUGGCUGGGGGUGAAAGGCCAAUCAAACCGGGAGAUAGCUGGUUCUCCCCGAAAGCUAUUUAGGUAGCGCCUCGUGAAUUCAUCUCCGGGGGUAGAGCACUGUUUCGGCAAGGGGGUCAUCCCGACUUACCAACCCGAUGCAAACUGCGAAUACCGGAGAAUGUUAUCACGGGAGACACACGGCGGGUGCUAACGUCCGUCGUGAAGAGGGAAACAACCCAGACCGCCAGCUAAGGUCCCAAAGUCAUGGUUAAGUGGGAAACGAUGUGGGAAGGCCCAGACAGCCAGGAUGUUGGCUUAGAAGCAGCCAUCAUUUAAAGAAAGCGUAAUAGCUCACUGGUCGAGUCGGCCUGCGCGGAAGAUGUAACGGGGCUAAACCAUGCACCGAAGCUGCGGCAGCGACGCUUAUGCGUUGUUGGGUAGGGGAGCGUUCUGUAAGCCUGCGAAGGUGUGCUGUGAGGCAUGCUGGAGGUAUCAGAAGUGCGAAUGCUGACAUAAGUAACGAUAAAGCGGGUGAAAAGCCCGCUCGCCGGAAGACCAAGGGUUCCUGUCCAACGUUAAUCGGGGCAGGGUGAGUCGACCCCUAAGGCGAGGCCGAAAGGCGUAGUCGAUGGGAAACAGGUUAAUAUUCCUGUACUUGGUGUUACUGCGAAGGGGGGACGGAGAAGGCUAUGUUGGCCGGGCGACGGUUGUCCCGGUUUAAGCGUGUAGGCUGGUUUUCCAGGCAAAUCCGGAAAAUCAAGGCUGAGGCGUGAUGACGAGGCACUACGGUGCUGAAGCAACAAAUGCCCUGCUUCCAGGAAAAGCCUCUAAGCAUCAGGUAACAUCAAAUCGUACCCCAAACCGACACAGGUGGUCAGGUAGAGAAUACCAAGGCGCUUGAGAGAACUCGGGUGAAGGAACUAGGCAAAAUGGUGCCGUAACUUCGGGAGAAGGCACGCUGAUAUGUAGGUGAAGCGACUUGCUCGUGGAGCUGAAAUCAGUCGAAGAUACCAGCUGGCUGCAACUGUUUAUUAAAAACACAGCACUGUGCAAACACGAAAGUGGACGUAUACGGUGUGACGCCUGCCCGGUGCCGGA
rnacentral:rRNA from 1 species